AUUGAACGCUGGCGGAAUGCUUUACACAUGCAAGUCGAACGGCAGCACGGACUUCGGUCUGGUGGCGAGUGGCGAACGGGUGAGUAAUGUAUCGGAACGUGCCCAGUCGUGGGGGAUAACGCAGUGAAAAUUACGCUAAUACCGCAUACGAACUAUGGAUGAAAGCGGGGGAUCGCAAGACCUCGCGCGAUCGGAGCGGCCGAUAUCAGAUUAGGUAGUUGGUGGGGUAAAGGCCCACCAAGCCAACGAUCUGUAGCUGGUCUGAGAGGACGACCGGCCACACUGGAAGUGAGACACGGUCCAGACUCCUACGGGGGGCAGCAGUGGAAAAUUUUGGACAAUGGGCGAAAGCCUGAUCCAUCCAUUCCGCGUGCAGGAUGAAGGCCCUCGGGUUGUAAACUGCUUUUGUACAGGACGAAAAGGUUUCUACUAAUACUAGGAGCUCAUGACGGUACUGUAAGAAUAAGCACCGGCUAACUACGUGCCAGCCGCCGCAGUAA
rnacentral:rRNA from 1 species